UAGCCGUAAACGAUACUCGCUAGGUGUCGGCCACGGUGCGACCGUUGUCGGUGCCGUAGGGAAGCCGUGAAGCGAGCCACCUGGGAAGUACGGCCGCAAGGCUGAAGCUUAAAGGAAUUGGCGGGGGAGCACAACAACGGGUGGAGCUUGCGGUUUAAUUGGAUUCAACGCCGGAAAUCUUACCGGGACCGACAGCAACAUGAAGGCCAAGCUGAAGACUUUGCCGGACUAGCUGAGAGGAGGUGCAUGGCGUAGUCGUGU
rnacentral:rRNA from 1 species